GACGAUCCCUAGCUGGUCUGAGAGGAUGAUCAGCCACACUGGAAUUGAGACACGGUCCAGACUCUCACGGGAGGCAGCAGUGGGGAAUAUUGCACAAUGGGCGAAAGCCUGAUGCAGCCAUGCCGCGUGUAUGAAGAAGGCCUUCGGGUUGUAAAGUACUUUCAGUUGUGAGGAAGGGGGUGUCGUUAAUAGCGGCAUCUCUUGACGUUAGCAACAGAAGAAGCACCGGCUAACUCCGUGCCAGCAGCCGCGGUAAUACGGAGGGUGCGAGCGUUAAUCGGAAUUACUGGGCGUAAAGCGCAUGCAGGUGGUUCAUUAAGUCAGAUGUGAAAGCCCGGGGCUCAACCUCGGAACUGCAUUUGAAACUGGUGAACUAGAGUACUGUAGAGGGGGGUAGAAUUUCAGGUGUAGCGGUGAAAUGCGUAGAGAUCUGAAGGAAUACCAGUGGCGAAGGCGGCCCCCUGGACAGAUACUGACACUCAGAUGCGAAAGCGUGGGGAGCAAACAGGAUUAGAUACCCUGGUAGUCCACGCCGUAAACGAUGUCUACUUGGAGGUUGUGGCCUUGAGCCGUGGCUUUCGGAGCUAACGCGUUAAGUAGACCGCCUGGGGAGUACGGUC
rnacentral:rRNA from 1 species